rnacentral:siRNA from 1 species
GCGACGUGGGUGGUUCGCC